UACGAAGGGGGCUAGCGUUGCUCGGAAUCACUGGGCGUAAAGGGUGCGUAGGCGGGUUUUUAAGUCAGGGGUGAAAUCCUGGAGCUCAACUCCAGAACUGCCUUUGAUACUGAAGAUCUUGAGUCCGGGAGAGGUGAGUGGGACUGCGAGUGUAGAGGUGAAAUUCGUAGAUAUUCGCAAGAACACCAGUGGCGAAGGCGGCUCACUGGCCCGGUACUGACGCUGAGGCACGAAAGCGUGGGGAGCAAACAGG
rnacentral:rRNA from 1 species